UCUCUCCUUUGUGUUUUGCAGGUUGGGUCUGUGAAGCCUGGAGAUUCGACUAGUUCUCCCGAGAAUCAAUUUCAAGUAGCUCAAUCCAGUCCUCUUUCUCAAGGAAGCUAAGGCGAUGCUAAAGAUAGAAAAUUUGAGGGUCUUGAAACAUAUUUUAAAGGCCAACGAAGAAAGGAGUGAAGGUCGCUGCCAAGAAAAAGAUGGUAUGACCUAGAUGAUUUGUUUUUUUUUUUCUAAUUUGUAGUAAGUUUUCGAACAUUCAAUUAUUGUGUGUUUCUAUUUUAAAUGUUGAGUUUUUUUUUUCCUGUGCUUUGCUUGAUUUUGAUGCAAACUUGAUAUUUCGAUUAACACUUUUCUGGAUGUGAAGGAGUUCGAUAAGAGAGCAAGUUUUGGCUUCAUUGUUGCCGAAUUCAACAGGGACUUGUUAUUUUUCAGUCUCAGGAGAAGCUAAUUUGAAUGUAACUAUACCCUUUGACAAGUUUAUGCUCUAACUAGCUAGUGUGCAGUUUUUUUUUUAACUUAAUUAAACUCCUAACUAGGUACAGAGUGCAAAAAUAUAUUUCUUUUCUUGACCAACCAUAAUAUUUACUUUGCAGGAGGAUCGAGCAGAGUUGGAAAACUAGACCAACCAUAAUUUUUGUUGAAUUAUCAAUCUCAGGCCAUGAAAGUACAUACAAGUGAGAAGGAAGGUGUUUAGGAGAAGGAG